rnacentral:misc_RNA from 1 species
GCUGACGAUGCUUUUGCUGGAAUGAACUCCUUGACUCAACUUUAUUUGGCAAAUAACAACUUCACGGGCCCAAUCCCUUCUGCGCUUCUUCCCUUGCCCAAGCUUGUCAAACUCAGCCUCGAGAAUAAUCAAUUUGAAGGCCAAAUACCGGACUUUCAACACGACUUCUUAUUGUUUAACGUCUCCAAUAACCAUUUGAACGGUCACAUUCCGGUUGCCCUUGCCGGCAUCAAUCUAGCCUCUUUUGCAGGUGAUCUUUGCAAUUGAUUUAGUUGACCUUGCUAUGAAAAAGUUUUUUGUUUUAUGAAUGACAUUUAAUAAUUCAAUUUGUAUGGAGCAGGGAACGAUGGCCUAUGUGGAAAGCCACUGUCUGCAUGCAAGUCCUCCAGGAAGAAGACCAUAAUAAUAAUCGCGGUAGUGUCGGCAAGUGUGAUUGCAUUAGCUGCCCUGGUUGCAGUUGCUUAUUUCCGCGGCCGCCGAACCAAAACGACCCAAGUGAAGCAGCUCCAAGUCCAAGGGACUAAAGCACAAACCAAAUUUGCUGUUAUGGGCCGAAAAGAAUUUGUUCAAUCGCCUGAUCACGAUCACAAGGGCCAGUUGCAUUUCGUUAGGAACGACAGAGAGAGAUUUGACUUGCAAGAACUUCUGAGGGCCUCUGCUGAGGUUUUGGGAAGCGGGAAUUUUGGGUCAUCUUAUAAGGCACUUCUUUUAGAUGGGUCUGCCAUGGUUGUGAAGAGGUUUAGGGAAAUGAAUAAUGUCGGCAAGGAAGAAUUUCAGGAGCACAUGGCUAGGCUAGGAAGGAUGUCGCACUGUAAUUUGCUCCCUCUCGUCGCAUUCUACCAUAGGAAAGAUGAAAAGCUUUUAAUUUUUGACUUUAUUGAAAAUGGGAGUUUGGCUAGUCAUCUUCAUGGUAUUUCUCUCAUCUUUUACAUUUUCUAAACCACUAAGGUAAACUCUUUAAUGUAACAAAACUGGAACUUAAAGAUGGAAAUUUCUGUCUUGAUUGAUUUCAGCUAAGCGUGCCUCCGGACAACCAGGGCUGGACUGGCCAACUCGCCUAAAAAUCAUCAAAGGGGUAGCCAGGGGAUUGGCCUACCUCCACAAGGAGUUCCCUAACCUAACUCUACCGCAUGGUCACCUGAAAUCCUCUAACGUGCUUCUGGACCAUACUUUCGAGCCCCUGUUGACGGACUAUGGGUUGGUGCCUGUGGUAAACAAAGCUCAUGCUCAACAAGUUAUGGUAGCGUACAAGUCCCCAGAAUUCAUCCAAAGUGACCGCACCACAACAAAGACCGAUGUGUGGAGUCUCGGCAUUCUAAUCCUGGAGCUGUUGACCGGUAAGUUUCCGGCCAAUUAUCUUAGACAAGGUAAAGGCGCCAAUGCUGAUCUAGCGACUUGGGUAAAUUCAGUUGUCAGAGAAGAAUGGACGGGAGAGGUGUUUGAUAUGGAUAUGAGAGGGACUAAGCAUGGCGAGGGUGAGUUGCUGAAGCUCUUGAAGAUAGGGAUGUGCUGCUGUGAAUGGAGAGUGGAGAGAAGGUGGGAUUUGAGGGAGGCUGUGGACAAGAUCGAGGAGUUGAAGGAGAGAGACAGCGAUGAUGACUUCAGUUCCUACGCAAGUGAAGGAGAACUCUACUCUUCCAGAGCAAUGACUGAGGA